UCCUUAGUACGAGAGGACCGGGAGGAACGAACCGCUGGUGUACCAGUUAUUCCGCCAGGAGUAGACGCUGGGUAGCCAAGUUCGGAGAGGAUAACCGCUGAAAGCAUCUAAGUGGGAAGCCCACCUUAAGAUGAGUGUUCUCACUACGAGAGUAGGUAAGGUCACGGGGAGAACACCCGUUAAUAGGCUUUAUGUGGAAGUACAGUAAUGUAUGUAGCAGAGAAGUCCUAACAGACCGAGGGCUUGACCUCAG
rnacentral:rRNA from 1 species